UUGAGCUUUCGCUGGAUUUGUCUAUUAGAAACUAAGCAACGAUCAUGUAGUCUACGAAUGUUUGACGAAUAAACCCAGUGAAAGGUCCACUCGAGCUACUCGAGCCAACUUAGUUCUAUUUUUCAAGUGUAGGUGUCGCAUGUACUAUUUUGAGCUGUCAAAAUUGGACUUAGCAAAAUUUGCCAUGUUUUCGGUUUGUUUUGUUUGCGAAUUAAGUUUCCCGUCGUCAUCGGAACAAAUGGAACAAAUGGAUCGGGUAAGGAAAGGUGGAGCGGUAAAAAAGGUUUUUGGUUCCGUUGCCUAUUUUUUUUUUUGUUUUAGCUUUUGCUGCCCCUACCAGGCAUGUCCAUCCUAACGUGUGAGUCGAUCGGGAAGCCGAUUCCGAACCGGGCUUCGGUGAUGGUCAAGCUUCCGAUGCAACGCGGCAACAAGGAGGACAUUGUCCAGCAAGGCGAACACUUCCAUCCUCCGCCGUUCUCCGUCAUGGACAAUAUCGAUGCCCAACGAUUUCUUGCGGUAGCAAAACGCCCAACCACAGCAGCAGAAAUACGCUGAUCGCGAUCGCGCCAGGACGAUGCCGGCGACAAAUGCUCUUCCGGCGUACCCUGUUCGCAGCCUCUUGGGGGAUAAGAAGGUACCAUCUCAGUGAUGUGGGAGGUUGUGGAGCGGAACAUCGAACAGCUGCUGUUCAAGCGGGAUGACGAUUUCGUGUACGUGUCAACUGAGCUAGUUGUCCCGACCGCCCAGAAGCAAACCAACGAGGCGUCUGCGCUAACGCAUGCCAACGAUCGCCAAACAACUGCCCGGAUUUCACAGGACGUCACCUGGACUCGCCCGAACCCUGACUGCCCUCGGCAAAUCCAAAGGAACCGCUCUCCAACUGUGAAACAGCCUGGAAGCUUCCCAGAUUAUCGCGACCAUCCCCAAAACAAGCACCUUCGUCAUCCGUGACAUCGAGUCCAUCCCGAAGGGCAUAGGCGCCUGUCCCCGCAAACCCGGCCUCGACCCGUACGUAACCAACCGCCGUCCGCGAAGAAAACUCCCGCACGGAUUCCACAUCCUGCUCCAGGUCAAAACCAAGUCGGAAUUCCUGCGUCUCCUCCUGCACAUCAUCGACGAGUCGUGCACCCAUUUCGACAUCAGCCCUUCCCCGGCUGGAAGCACCUGGAAGCGACCACCUUGUAGGCGCUGCAACGCCUCAACGUCUAUUUCACAUAAAGCAUCCGGAGGUUUAUCCGAUUGCCGCCGCCGCGUGGAUAUCUGCUGCGCGGACCUCCCGGCUCGGAGAAGACGUUGCUUGCGCACGCCAUCGCUGGCCAGCUUAUGAAUGGACUAAUUGAGAUCGCCGCCAAUGAUUCGGUAGCGGCUAUUCCGAAGACUCGGAGGAACGCAUCCGGGAGGUGUUCGAUCAGGCAGCAUACUCUCAUACUCUUCGACAAGCUCAACGCCAUCUUGGCGAACCGGACUUAUAAACAACCAGUCGUUGUGCACCAACCAGCCGGAUGCGCUCGACCCUGCCCUGCGUCGCGCCGGUCGCUUUGACCAGGAAAUCUCGCUAGGAAUUUCGGACCGCGAGGCGGUUUUCUUGCGAGUGUUUGCGUGGCGUGGUGUUGGUUGGCGCAAUUGGAGGAACGGCGAUCAUCGCUGCUGCGCCUACUGAACUUCCGUUCAGAUUGCUCGCGACUACCAGCUCACGACGGAUGACGACGGUAGAGAUUCUGGUCCUCGAUGCGUUCCUCUGACUCUGAGCCAAAAAACAGCAACAAUCUGUUUGUAUGUCUCACAGACAGCACGACAACCACGGGCGAUUUGCGGCACCAAAUGUCAGAACUGGCCCGUUUCAUGUUUAACUCGCUAGCCUUAUCCGGAUCGGCGGGAUCCAAUCAGUCGCACUGCAAGUUGCCGACACCGAUGCCACCACGGCGAGAUCCAAAGACGAGGACUUGCCAAAUGGAUGGUCGCCGGAGUGGAGGGUGUGGCAGCGGAAGGACGAUAACGAUAGUUUGGGAUCGGGCCAAGCCAAGUCGACAUCGGAGGAAUCAGCGUGUGCUAUGAUUACGCGUUGGACGCGACCAACUUUGCGCCAGUCAUCAUAAUCUACCAAAAGUUGUUUCGGCGAUCAGCAACCGCGGAAGGCGAGAACAAAUCUCGGCCAGCGUUUUGUCGAAUAACGGUCGCCGAGUUUGAAGAGGUUCCAGAGUGGGUUCGAUAAUGGUGCAGCGACGUCACCGACUAACCCCCAGAAAGGAACAAUCAUGUACACUAGCGUGGCCGAUGUGAGGCGCAAACCCCACUCCGAUUCAGCUGAUCAGACACGAUCUGAAUCGCAUCUUCUACAGCACGCAGAGCCUUGCGGGGACCAUCGUCCAGCUGGUUCAAUACCGUCAGCAACAAGGGCACGGAAACAUUGUCAGACUGGCCUGCAGAAGUACACUUAUUCCUAAGCCAAAGAGCAGCGUCCAAAAUGCUCGACUUCGAAGUCAUGUCCAGCUUCAUCCCGAACGCCAAAAUGUACGUGAGCUACCUAACAACGACCGUAAUGUCCGCGACCAGCAGCUGCAGCAGUGGCAUACCACCACCGAGGUCCGCAAAUCGUCAUCGAUAUGAAGGAGUUCGUCCAGCACGACAAUCGGUUACAGCGCCAUCAACGUCCCAACGUCCGGAAGCGUUGAAGCAUUCUGUAUGCCCAACAGGGACGUUCUGCGGCCAUGCAACAGCAGUGCAAAACAACAUCUGGGAGGAACCCAUCAUCUGGACGAGAAUGUUGGUGGAAUGGACCGGAAGUUUAUUGGCACAUUGGACGGCACGGAUCUCCCGGCUCGGGGAAGGCGUUACUUGCGCACGCCACCGAUGGUAAUCUGGACUGAUUGAGAUCACCACCACGAAGUUAGUCGCGGGAGUUUCCGGGAGUCGGAGGAACCCAUCCGGAAGGUGUUUAAGCAGGCAUCGAUCCUCUCGCCGCGCGUACUCUUCAUCGACCAGAUCAACCGCGUCACCUCGAAGAACAUGGAACGACAAAUCGAUGCGCAGCUGCUAAGCAGCUUGGACGGGAUCUCGCGGAUCAAACCGGCCGGAUGCUACGAAGAACUCGCCAAACUAACCCCUGGUUACGCCGAAGCAGAUCUGCUGACGCUGGUCACCCGCACGGCCACGACCGACAUCAAGCGAAUGCUCACCGAAAUCGAACGCCAACAGUAAUUUAUAUUAAUUAGU